rnacentral:rRNA from 1 species
UACGUAGGGUGCGAGCGUUAAUCGGAAUUACUGGGCGUAAAGUGUGCGCAGGCGGCCGCGCAAGUCGAGUGUGAAAGCCCCGGGCUUAACUUGGGAAUUGCGCUCGAAACUACGUGGCUGGAGUGUGGCAGAGGAAGGUGGAAUUCCAGGUGUAGCGGUGAAAUGCGUAGAGAUCGGAAAAGAACACCAACGGCGAAAGCACUCUGCUGGGACCGAACACUGACACUGGAGAGACGAAAGCUAGGGGAGCGAAUGGG